rnacentral:lncRNA from 1 species
UUCCAAACAAGUUGCGUUAUCUUAAUUAUGAGCUGUUGUUGAUCAAAGUACAAAAUGAAGUUCCAGAUAAGCACGUGAUGUCAUAGCGAACCAAAUUAUCAAGCAUAAAUAUAAGAGUACACUAAGUUUUAACCAACACAUAGUCUCACACAUUAGUAUAUCGUCAAGCAAGUUUGUUAGCUACUCUGCACGAAGCCAC